UGAUUGGACGUGCUUGCACGGACUUGACGUUGGUUUACCAGCGAGUGGCGGACGGGUGAGUAACACGUAGGUAACCUGCCCCAAAGCGGGGGAUAACAUUUGGAAACAGAUGCUAAUACCGCAUAACAAUUUGAAUCGCAUGAUUCAAAUUUAAAAGAUGGCUUCGGCUAUCACUUUGGGAUGGACCUGCGGCGCAUUAGCUUGUUGGUAGGGUAACGGCCUACCAAGGCUGUGAUGCGUAGCCGAGUUGAGAGACUGAUCGGCCACAAUGGAACUGAGACACGGUCCAUACUCCUACGGGAGGCAGCAGUAGGGAAUCUUCCACAAUGGGCGCAAGCCUGAUGGAGCAACACCGCGUGAGUGAAGAAGGGUUUCGGCUCGUAAAGCUCUGUUGUUAGAGAAGAACGUGCGUGAGAGCAACUGUUCACGCAGUGACGGUAUCUAACCAGAAAGUCACGGCUAACUACGUGCCAGCAGCCGCGGUAAUACGUAGGUGGCAAGCGUUAUCCGGAUUUAUUGGGCGUAAAGCGAGCGCAGGCGGUUUGAUAAGUCUGAUGUGAAAGCCUUUGGCUUAACCAAAGAAGUGCAUCGGAGACUGUCAGACUUGAGUGCAGAAGAGGACAGUGGAACUCCAUGG
rnacentral:rRNA from 1 species